AGAUAAAGCAUAUGAUGGCUUUCAUUGAACAAGAAGCCAAUGAGAAAGCAGAAGAAAUAGAUGCAAAGGCAGAAGAAGAGUUCAACAUAGAGAAAGGUCGGCUUGUGCAAACCCAAAGACUAAAGAUUAUGGAAUAUUAUGAGAAGAAAGAGAAACAGAUUGAGCAGCAGAAGAAAAUUCAGAUGUCCAAUUUGAUGAAUCAAGCGAGACUCAAAGUCCUCAGAGCAAGAGAUGACCUUAUCACAGACCUACUAAAUGAAGCAAAACAGAGACUCAGCAAGGUGGUAAAAGAUACAACCAGGUACCAAGUGCUGCUGGAUGGACUAGUUCUCCAGGGUUUGUACCAGUUGCUGGAGCCCCGAAUGAUUGUUCGUUGCAGGAAACAAGAUUUCCCUCUGGUAAAGGCUGCAGUGCAGAAGGCAAUUCCUAUGUACAAAAUUGCCACCAAAAACGAUGUUGAUGUCCAAAUUGACCAGGAGUCCUACUUGCCUGAAGACAUGUAAGGAGUAUUCCUGCUGCUAACAGCUACCUUCUCUCCCUGGGAGAGUGGCCUUUAUACCAGGCCUUUUUUAAAUGGUAUUUUCACCAACGCACUCUUAGACACAAGGCUAGAGCUGUGGUGUGUUCUACUUGCAGCCGUUCCUGUUGUUCUCGCAGUGCUCUCUUGCUCUCCCUUGUUGGCUGGCU
rnacentral:sRNA from 1 species